AGGUGGGGGCUGGAUGAUCAUUUGUCUUUGUGUCUUCUGAGAGUGACGUGUGAUUGAAGAAUGUCCUUACAAGUCAGUGUGAUGAAGACAAUGCAAACUUUACGUCAGGACCCGUCCUUUGGUGGCAUCAAAAGCAGCAGCAGCAGAGACCGAAACCCGUGGACUGCUUGUGAAAUUGCACCGAAGGAGGAAAAAAAAAUCAGUGAGGCAGCAAUCAGUAACAUAUGCAGCCUAAAUAUUGUGUAGGAUGAGCAGAAGUCCUUUUCUCCUUGGCGUGUGUGCGUGCGAGGCAGAUCAAGCAAACCCGACGACGACGCUUCAGCGGGAGCAGCAGCCCUGUCGGGAUGGCAGCCGAGCGGUGACAGCGUUGUGCUGCCAUGUCCCGGGGCUUACAGGCCAUACAGUUGAGUUUGGAAAUUCAGCACGACACCAGUGCUGGCAGACCUCUGAAGCAGGGCAGCGACACACUCACCCCGUACACAUCAGACCACAGCUACAACUGUGAGAGCGGCUGGCUGCCGAGCACAGGGGUGUGUUGGUAAACAAACUGUAAAUCCUCAUAAGGAAGAGUUACUGCAGUCACACUGAAGGCUUAAAAAAUAUAUUUAAUGCUUUAAACAAUUUUAAGUGCUAUUUAAAAAC